AUGGAAGCAGCAGCAGCAGACGAGGAGAGGCCCCUGCUUCAUCUCCUACCGUAUAAUCAGGAUGUAGGUUCAGAAUACACCGGCGAUGGAUCUGUUGACAUCAACAAUCAGCCUGCUCUGAAGUGCAACACAGGCAAUUGGGGGGCGUGCUACAUGAUUUUAGGUGUCGAGUUCUGCGAAUGCAUCGCCUUCUACGCAAUCGCGACCAACUUGGUAACCUACCUCGCCACCGUGCUCCACGAAAGCAAGGUCGCUGCUGCGCGGGAUGUCUCUGCCUGGGUCGGCGCAUGCUUCCUCACACCACUUAUUGGGGCCUUCUUGGCGGACUCAUAUCUGGGAAGAUACUGGACGAUAGUUGUUUCCCUUCCAGUCCACACCAUCGGAAUGCUCGUGCUCACAGUUGCAGCAUCAGUCCCGACAUCCUACUACCAUGGUGAUGUUCAUCGUACUGUGGUGGUGUACCUGGGACUCUAUCUUGCCGCACUUGGGACCGGUGGCAUUAAACCCUGUGCGUCAGCCUUCGGUGCCGACCAAUUCGACAGUGGAGACCUGACGGAGCUGGAGAAGAAGGGCUCCUUCUUCAACUGGUACUACUUCCUGCUCAAUCUCGGCUCCCUUCUGUCAAGCACACUGCUUGUUUGGCUGCAGGACAAUGGUGGGUGGGGGCUCAGUUUUGCAAUCCCAACGGUGCUCAUGACCUUGGGCCUAGCAGUAUUUGUUGGUGGCUCCAGAGUGUACAGGUUCAGGAAACUGAGAGCAAGCCCAUUCACGAGUAUCUGUCAGGUGCUCGUUGCGGCCGUCAGGAAGUGGCAUGUGCAACUGCCAGAUGAUAUCUCACUCUUGUACGAGCUGGCCAGUUCGUCAUCAUCAGCUGAAUCAAGUCACAAAAUUCAGCAUACAAGUCAAUUCAGGUUUCUAGACAAGGCUGCCACUGUGCCGCCCCCGUUAGACCAGACAUGCAUGGUGUUGCCGUUGUGUUCAUGGAGUCUCUGCACAGUGACCCAAGUUGAGGAGUUGAAGAUACUGCUACGGAUGUUCCACGUCUGGGCGUCGUUCGUGAUCUUCUAUGCAGUCGCUGGGCAGACCGCAUCGACGUUUAUCGAGCAGGGGAUGGUCAUGGACAACCACGUCGGCCAGUUCGCAAUCCCACCUGCCUCCCUCUCUAUUGUCAGCGUGUUCAGCGUCCUUAUCGGGGUUUUCAUCUACGAAUCCGUGCUAGUGCCACUCGCGCGGCGUUAUACUGGCAAGGCGAAGGGCUUCUCACAGACGCAGCGCCUUGGAAUUGGCUUUGCGCUGUCCAUGCUGACCAUGAUCUACUCAGCAAUGCUCGAGAUGAAGAGAUUGGCGACCGCACAAGCUAGCGGCCUGAGAGACCAGAAUGUGCCCGUGCCAGUGAGCAUUCUGUGGCAAGUGCCUGCAUAUGUAAUGCAUGGUGCAGCCGGGGUUUUCGCAGGAAUCGGCAUGAUGGAGUUCUUCUACGAUGAGGCCCCUUACACCAUGAAGAGCCUUUGUGCAGCAUUCGCACAGCUUGCAGUUGCGUCCGCAGCUUACUUCAACGCGCUCGUAUUUAGUGUUGUUGCGGUGGCCACGGCGCACGAUGAUGCUCCUGGAUGGAUCCCGGAUAAUCUGAAUGAAGGGCAUUUGGACUAUUUCUUCUGGAUGAUGGCUGCUCUUAGCUUACUGAAUCUGGCGCAAUUUGUGCACUACUCCAUGAGGUAUAGAGAGAAGACAACUUCUUGA
rnacentral:rRNA from 1 species